CUCCUACGGGGCGCAGCAGUGAGGAAUAUUGGUCAAUGGUCGGGAGACUGAACCAGCCAAGCCGCGUGAGGGAGGAAGGUACAGAGUAUCGUAAACCUCUUUUGUCAGGGAACAAAGGCGGGGACGUGUCCCCGGAUGAGUGUACCUGAAGAAAAAGCAUCGGCUAACUCCGUGCCAGCAGCCGCGGUAAUACGUAGGUGGCGAGCGUUGUCCGGAAUUACUGGGUGUAAAGGGAGUGUAGGCGGGAAAGGAAGUCAGAAGUGAAAAC
rnacentral:rRNA from 1 species